rnacentral:tRNA from 1 species
GCAGUGGUGGUUCAGCGGUAGAAUUCUCACCUUCCGCGUGAGAAGUGUGGGUUCGCUUCCCAGCCGGCG